AUAUAGGCUGACUUGACACCAAGUAGCAAUGUCCGGCUUCGUACCUGACAGGAACAGCCCGGCUUCUUUUAAGCAAGAUAUUUCAUUAUUCCAGCAGCAGCAGGAUGGAAGUUCAUCAUCAUCUGUAUCAUCACAUUAACAUCUGACACCCGUCGUGCAGUAGGGCCAAUAAGCAGCGGAUGCAGCUGGUUCCCGGCUGCAGGCGGCCCUCUCAAUGGUAUCUCCCACCAUGAAAGCGUUGGUGGAUGCUGUAUGGGCUGUGUGGAGCAUCGGGGCCUCCAUUUAUGACUACAUCCACACCAACGCUAUGGAGGAGCGCAUCCACGCCCUGGAGGAUGUCAUCACCAUCCACCAGUGUGUGAUCGGGCUGCUGUCUGCAGGCGUAUUGGUACUCUUCAGCUACAUCCUCCUCAAGAAGCUCUGAAGAUGUGUGAAGGGGUGGGCUAGGGGCGAUAUGGGGGAUGUGGACCGACCAGAAUGAGACAUUGGUGUCCAAUGUGAUAAAGCAAACACUGGUCAGAUAGACAAAGGGGAAUUUAUACACAUUGGCUCCUAAGAGCUCCUCCCUCUGAAACUAUAUGUACCCUUAUAGUUUCAGAUAGAAGGAGAUGGUAAAGAGGAGAUGGCGUGGGACCUAACACAUACAUGGGCACACUGUCUUUAUUUAGACAAGGUGGUAGGAAGGUCCAGCAUCAUGUGAAAAAAAACCCACCAGAAAUUAUCAAGACUAUAAGUCACUUUUUUACUUUUUUAACAUCAAUUUAGUGCCACAUUUUUUCCUAAAUCUGUUUUGGGGAAAACACAUUGCGGUUCAUGUCGUGGUUGUGGAGGAGGUGAGCGAGAUACAGGGUCCAGCUGUGUUUUUAAAGGCCGGAAUAAUAGAUAGAUUUUGUACUGAUGGUGACAGAUUUUAUAUGCCAGUAUUAUUACAAUAUCUUUACAUUUUCAUUAAAUUUUUUUAUUUAAUUCUUCAUUUUAAUGGCUUUACUACCAAAUGAUUCAUCCCCCCCCCAAAAAAAAUGGUAUUCUUAACAGAGUUAAAAAGCCUCUGAAAAAGCAUUUAGACCAUCAUGGGACAUUGUGACUCAGCAGCUCACUGAAAGUUUUGGAGGCUGAAGCUGUUGACUAAAAUAUGUCCUUGACACAUUUGAACUAUCUGAUACAAAAAAUACCCAGUGUCAGCACAGACUGUCAGUGUGCAGUGAAUAUCAACUGGCCAAUUUGCAAUUUUUUGGAAAGCCCAAGAAGCUGAAUGUAUCAGCAAAGCAGUACAUCUGCCAACCCUAUCAGAAACCUGUAAUAUUAGUGCACAUCAGUACUGUGUCAAACUCACUUUAAAUAGAGAAGACUUCAGCUGACAGUAUGUGUCUGGGCAUUGCUUCCACAACAUAAUUCACUCAUUUUCUAAAGGGAUCAUUAUUGAAAGUAAUCAUUCGCCAUAGCAACUUAAAGCCUUAUAGCACAUUAUUUUCAUGUUUGCACUAAUGUCCUCAAAGUCUGACUGAGAUACCAGGAGAUGCUAAUUCCCCUGAAACUAGCAUUUGUGACAAAGAUGACUGGAGAGUGCAGAGGUACUUUAAUAUCUCAAAGGUCAUUGAUAGCAGAGUGUCAUUUCACAUUGUCACACCCUAAAAUCUUGUUACAAUUUUAUAGGUCUACAUGUGUACUGAGUACUAUCUAUAUUAUUAGACUUCAAAGUGCAACAUCAUGAUCCAUUUAUAUAAUGCUUUUUUUAUUAAUGUUAUACCUCAUAGCUGUUACAUUACUGUAGGUGCCGCUGCUGUAUAAAACACAACAAUUUGAAGUGUCCUUAAAAACUGUAAAUAUAUUUAGAUUGGAACGUUUCAUAGAUGUGCAACUAUCCCAUAAUACUAUUGCUGCUUAAUAUUUAUGGUUUUGUUUUUUAAAGGCAACAUUUUGUACCAUGAAAGGUGGGAAUUUGAAUGAGAUGAUACUUGGUACUGACUGCGAACACUGGAUCAAUGUGUGACAUUUGAGUUUUAGAGGAUAAAGGAAGUUUUUGUCAUAGUAACUUAAAUUAACAUCACUAACCUGUCAAGUGAACUGUUGAAAGAGGUGGUGGGUCAUUGAAAACUAUUGCUGUAUGAGAUGUGUGUUUAUCUGUGUGCAUUUGUUAUGUCACUGUCUCAGAGGGACCACAAAAGAGAACACCCCAGAAUGAAAGACUGUUUUAAUAUCAUUAUAACAGCAUUAAAGUUUGUCUUCUCAAAAUGCCAAAUAAAUGUGGAAUUCAAUUAAACUGGACAUCUUUACAA